rnacentral:lncRNA from 1 species
UUGGCGUGCGGAGCUGGCACUUUGGCGCUGUUGGCGACGGUGGGGAGAGCUGUAGAGUGUGAAGUUCCUUGUCUGCUGGCAGCCAGAGGCGACGAGUCUGGACCUCAUGGAAGUCCAGACUCUAGUCUGGACGCGUCCCUUUUGGUACGCGAGGAGCCUAACAGUUGGACCUCUGAGAGCCGAGAGCCGUGGGGACUGGGCGACCCUCGUACGGAAGUGAGGGCAGGGGGCUGGCUGGCCCUGUCCGGGAGGGCCCCGGGAUAGGGACAGGGACGAACGGGACUCAAGCCCCUCCGAACCUCCACAACCUGUGUCUGGGGUGCGGGGCCGAGCACCUCCGUGUCCGGCUGCCUUUCAAUGUGCCCCCUCCUUCUCUCAUUCAUUUACCAGCGUUUCUGGGUCACAGUGCGGGGGUGGAGCCCAGCCUGGUAUCCGACCCGGGACUUAGCAGGCUGUAAAGGCCUGAGUCUGUCCGCCCUGAAAGUAGGUGGAGGAGAGACGAAUCAGGUCCAGGUAGAGCUCUGCUUGCCCCACCGGGCCCUGGGGAGCCCUCACUCCGAAGAGCUGCCCUCAGAGUUUGAUGGGAACAGUCAACACUGUGAGGGAAGGGGCGAGUUUUUGGGUGGAGAAGGGAAGGAUGUGAGCCAGGACUGGGACCGGAGAAACAGCACGGGGUGUGUGGGUGUGUA